rnacentral:rRNA from 1 species
ACAGGUGGUGCAUGGUUGUCGUCAGCUCGUGUCGUGAGAUGUUGGGUUAAGUCCCGCAACGAGCGCAACCCUUAAGCUUAGUUGCCAGCAUUAAGUUGGGCACUCUAAGUUGACUGCCGGUGACAAACCGGAGGAAGGUGGGGAUGACGUCAAAUCAUCAUGCCCCUUAUGAUUUGGGCUACACACGUGCUACAAUGGACAAUACAAAGGGCAGCUAAACCGCGAGGUCAUGCAAAUCCCAUAAAGUUGUUCUCAGUUCGGAUUGUAGUCUGCAACUCGACUACAUGAAGCUGGAAUCGCUAGUAAUCGUAGAUCAGCAUGUUACGGUGAAUACGUUCCCGGGUCUUGUACACACCGCCCGUCACACCACGAGAGUCUGUAACACCCGAAGCCGGUGGAGUAACCAUUUAUGGAGCUAGCCGUCGAAGGUGGGACAAAUGAUUGGGGUGAAGUCGUAACAAGGUAGCCGUAUCGGAAGGUGCGGCUGGAUCACCUC